UCGUCAGCUCGUGUCGUGAGAUGUUGGGUUAAGUCCCGCAACGAGCGCAACCCCUGUUCUUAGUUGCUAGCACGUUAAGGUGGGAACUCUAAGAAGACUGCCGGUGAUAAAUCGGAGGAAGGUGGGGACGACGUCAAAUCAUCAUGCCCUUUAUGUCCUGGGCUACACACGUACUACAAUGGCUGUAACAGAGGGAAGCGAAGCCGCGAGGUGGAGCAAAACCCAAAAAAGCAGUCUCAGUUCGGAUUGAAGGCUGAAAUUCGCCUUCAUGAAGCCGGAAUUGCUAGUAAUGGCAGGUCAGCAUACUGCCGUGAAUACGUUCCCGGGCCUUGUACACACCGCCCGUCACACCAUGAGAGUUGGGAAUACCCGAAGCCUGUGAGCUAACUUUUAGAGGCAGCAGUCGAAGGUAGAAUCAAUGAUUGGGGUGAAGUCGUAACAAGGUAGCCGUA
rnacentral:rRNA from 1 species